GUGCCAGCAGCCGCGGUAACACGGGGGGAGCGAGCGUUGUUCGGAAUCACUGGGCGUAAAGGGCGUGUAGGCGGCUCGGUAAGUGAGAUGUGAAAUCCCCCGGCUUACCCGGGGAACGGCAUCUCAUACUGCUGGGCUUGAGUGCGGGAGAGGAUGGGGGAAUUCCUGGUGUAGCGGUGAAAUGCGUAGAUAUCAGGAGGAACACCGGUGGCGAAGGCGCCCAUCUGGCCCGUUACUGACGCUGAGGCGCGAAAGCUAGGGGAGCAAACGGGAUUAGAAACCCUAGUAGUCC
rnacentral:rRNA from 1 species